rnacentral:rRNA from 1 species
GGAGCGGCCGAUGUCUGAUUAGCUAGUUGGUAAGGUAAUGGCUUACCAAGGCAACGAUCAGUAGUUGGUCUGAGAGGACGACCAGCCACACUGGGACUGAGACACGGCCCAGACUCUACGGGAGGCAGCAGUGGGGAAUUUUGGACAAUGGGCGCAAGCCUGAUCCAGCAAUGCCGCGUGAGUGAAGAAGGCCUUCGGGUUGUAAAGCUCUUUCAGUUGAGAAGAAAAGAUUGUGACUAAUAAUUGCACUUCAUGACGGUAUCAACAGAAGAAGCACCGGCUAACUACGUGCCAGCAGCCGCGGUAAUACGUAGGGUGCGAGCGUUAAUCGGAAUUACUGGGCGUAAAGGGUGCGCAGGCGGUUCUGUAAGUCAGAUGUGAAAUCCCCGGGCUUAACCUGGGAAC